AACGUAGGAGGCGAGCGUUAUCCGGAUUCACUGGGCUUAAAGCGCGUGCAGGCGGUCCGGUAAGUCGGACGUGAAAUCUCCUGGCUCAACUGGGAGAGGCCGUUCGAUACUGCCAGACUAGAGGGCAGGAGAGGGAGGUGGAAUUCCGGGUGUAGCGGUGAAAUGCGUAGAUAUCCGGAGGAACACCUGUGGCGAAAGCGGCCUCCUGGUCUGCCCCUGACGCUCAGACGCGAAAGCUAGGGGAGCAAACGGG
rnacentral:rRNA from 1 species